rnacentral:rRNA from 1 species
AGUAACGCGUAGGUAACCUACCUUUUAGCGGGGGAUAACUAUUGGAAACGAUAGCUAAUACCGCAUAAGAUAUCUUACUGCAUGGUAAGAUAUUAAAAGAUGCAAUUGCAUCACUAAGAGAUGGACCUGCGUUGUAUUAGCUAGUAGGUGAGGUAACGGCUCACCUAGGCAACGAUACAUAGCCGACCUGAGAGGGUGAUCGGUCACACUGGGACUGAGACACGGCCCAG